rnacentral:rRNA from 1 species
GAUGAACGCUGGCGGCGUGCCUAAUACAUGCAAGUCGAGCGAACAGAUGAGGAGCUUGCUCCUCUGACGUUAGCGGCGGACGGGUGAGUAACACGUGGAUAACCUACUUAUAAGACUGGGAUAACUUCGGGAAACCGGUGCUAAUACUGGAUAAUAUAUUGAACCGCAUGGUUCAAUAGUGAAUGACGGUUUUGCUGUCACUUAUAGACGGAUCCGCGUCGGAUUAGCUAGUUGGUAAGGUAACGGCUUACCAAGGCAACGAUGCGUAGCCGACCUGAGAGGGUGAUCGGCCACACUGGAACUGAGACACGGUCCAGACUCCUACGGGAGGCAGCAGUAGGGAAUCUUCGGCAAUGGGCGCAAGCCUGACGCAGCAACGCCGCGUGAGUGAUGAAGGUCUUCGGAUCGUAAAACUCUGUUAUUAGGGAAGAAAAAAUGUGUAAGUAACUAUGCACGUCUUGACGGUACCUAAUCAGAAAGCCACGGCUAACUACGUG